rnacentral:lncRNA from 1 species
CAGGUAUUGUUUGGUUGCCAGCAAACAGAUGGUUGGCAGAUUUCUCACAGUUUGGGUAACAGGUUAGUAGAGGAGCAUAUUAGUAGAGGAGCAUGCAAGUUUGGAAAGUUAUGUUUGUUGGCGGGAUUCAUUGUGCUGGUUAAUUGAAGUCAUAAUAUAUCAGCAGGUAUGGCAUGGGAUUCAUUGUUCUGGUUAGAUGAGAUAUAUCAUCUGGUAAAUCAUUGGAUACAUUUCAACGUAUUGGAUUAUUUUGUUCUGAACUCUUUAGUCAGGUACCUUCCUUCUCUCAACACAACUUCAGCAACAUGUUUUAUAUAUUACAACUUCCAAGUUAAUAGUAGAGAUUUAAUCUCAAUACUUGCUUGCUUGGUGUAAGAAUGUAGAAGUAUGUUUUACUUUGGCUCCUAGCUGAAGACUACGGUUGGGUGUUCCAAUAACUUAUUUUUGGCAUGGUCUUCUUUGCUACCUCUGCAUGUGCGAUCCUCAUUAUUUGUUGCUUGAUUCUCUAUGCAAGAAUCUUGGCUCAUGGUCGAACAUAUAUGGUCACAUAUUUGCUCCAGGGAUUUAUUUUUGUCAGAGCCGAUCGACAAAUGAUCAGCCUGAAAGUAUAAUUUUCUAGCUUAAUACAUGUCAUGCAAGUAUGGUUUCCUUAAUGUGACUGGUAAUGUAAAUUUUGUGGGUCUCUCAGUUCCUAUGAGCCUAAUAUAGUUAAUUCGAAAUCAUGAUUCUGAUGGAAAUGCAAAAGAAACAGAACCUGAAUUAGUAGUUAAUUGGAUAGCAUGAUUCCGAUGGAAAUGCAAAAGAAACAGAACCAACAAUAGUAGUCUACCUUAAAGCUCGAAGAAUUCAUGAGAAAUUCUUGCUAGCAUCUAGAAUUGGAUGCCCUCAGGAAGACUAUUGUAAGUCAAUUUUCAUGACUGAUUUGCUCAUUUCCUCUAGCUGCACAAUAUGACAUAUUGCUUCUUAAUUCAACACUUACUGCUACUUAGUAAUAAGAGGACAUGUGGGACUUUGUUUCUCGAAUUGACACUCAAUAGUAGAAGAUGUUCAUACCUAGAAUAGUUGAUCACAAACUGCCGUAUCAUGGCUUUCUAGCUUAUAUGUUACAGAGCAAGUGAGCAGCCUCUACUCCCCCCCCCUCUAAUUAAUCUCUAUUUUGUAGCUUUGAAUAGCUAAAAAAAGUUGAUUCUGGUAUAUAUUCAUUGGCGCAAACAUUAGAAGUUCUAUGAUAUUUUUUCUUACCACAUAUAUAUGAAGGAUUGUGCAGACAACUUGCAGCGUUGGAAUCAACAUCUGGGAACAAUGCAUGGACAUUUAGAUAUAUAUUUUUAGCAUUCUUCAAGAUCUUGACUUAAUUUCUUUUUACACUGUUAAAUAAUAAAAGUAACAAAAUGUUGUACAAUAGUAGUAUCUGUUAUGUAGUCAAGUUUACUGAAAUCAAAAGAAAACCAAGAAAGGAGAGCCGAAGUUCAAGGCAUGUUCAGCUCCAUUGAUUUCCUCUCUCAAUGGAGUGUUAGUCCUCUGAAUAUUUUUAUUCCUCUGAUCUCAAACAUUGUCUACACAAGAGUCGAAGCUUUGUCUGCCACUGCUCUUCAGUUCACACCGCCGAUGUUGUGAGGACUGGCAGCUCUUCAGUUCAUGCUGCCAAUGUUGUGAGGACUGGCAGGACUUCAAUGGGCGCGGAGGCUGCAACCUAGGGCGAGGGCGUCGGUGCGUUGAGAUGGUGGGGCCACGUCAGUGGGAGGACGUGAGGCGGCGAUGUCCACCCAGAUCUAUAGCCGCAACAGAAGAACAACUCAGAGAGGACGUGCAGCUCCUGUGUGUAGUAGAUAAAUCGCCGCCCAGAUAAAUCACCGGGACACUACCAAGUGUGUCGUCAGUAGGAUAAAAAAUCUUGAGCGUGCCUCAGGUGCGACUCUAGCUAUUGAAAAUCAAAGAACCUGAAUACUUCCGGAGUUUGAUAAGGCUUUACGGUGAGUUCUCAUAGUGGUCUAUGUGCACGAUGGGAUGCUGGUACUGCUGUUCUACUUUUACUGCUGUUGUUAUUAAGCAGAUUUUGUCAAAGCAAUUGCUAUGUGUAUUAAUUUGGAUAGGAUCAGUUAAAGUACAUCUCAUUAAACGGCGUUUUUUGUCGUGUGUUUUAACUUUUUAUUAUUAGUAGCAGUGGUUUCUAUAGCUAGCCCAAUGAUGAUCCCCACUUUAACCGACAUGAUGUCAAAGCUCAAGGCUAUCAGUGACCAUCCAUAUAGCUCAUCAAGUCAUCUUCAGAUCACUAGCCCUAAUGGUGUCAAGCUCAAGGAUAUCUAGGAGCACUCGAACCUCCUGCAUGACGAAGUCACUCGAUGAGGAUGUGCUUACCCAGGAGAAUGAACCUAUUGAUGCUCCCCUUGCAGCCGGAAGUAUCUUGAAAGCUGGUAAAGUGGUGUGGUACUGUUUCCUCUCUUUUACCUUGAUGCAAAUACAUCUGUGAUGGUGUCCCAGCAAUGCAAGUCGUCAUUUAAUUCACUAGCUAUAUAAAAUGCUCAGCAAAAGAUAGUUCCUAUAAUAUUUUGUGACCAAGGAAACGUGGUGACCUUUUGGCACUUUUCAUGUAGCGAAAACCUCAUACAUGAGCAUAUCCGCGAUGCAAGGAGCUUUUGUGAUGACUCGGAGGAGGUAGCAGGGGGAGGAAAAGAAGGGAUAGGUUCCAUUACGAUCUUCUGUUGACACAAUGGUCGUCGGUGGCGACUGGCGAGAACAUGAGGACCAUGGCGAGUGGCUUUGUACCAGGACUGUUUCAUGCAUUUGAUUUUGAGGUUGGAUAUUGAUCCCUUUUCCUAGGAUUCAGGAUUGUCAAAUGCCUAAUUGAUGCUUUAAUUAAUUCGUUGCCUUCAGUUCGUGUAGCAUACUGAUAACAUAAUUUGGCUCAUUUCGUGAAUGAUGUGAACUUACAGAGUAGCCAUAGUACCAAAUCAUGUGUAGCAGGGUGUAGGGAGUCUGUAGGUUUUUUUUAUAUGCUAAUCACUGAUUGCUACCAUUAGCAAGAAUUUCCUUCACCACCAAAAGCACGACACGUGAUAACCAUUGCGCUUUCUUUCUAGAGCUGGUUUUGGGUGUACCACUAUACUAUACCCUACAGAGAUGUCUCGUAAAUAGAACAGUUCUGUCAUGAUGAGAUGUAUAUUUGAUGGACUUGGAGCUGUCUAAUUUGGACUUGAAAUUACAGUGUAAAAUUUCCACAUUGUAUAUUUUCUUUUGAGGAAGCAAGAUUGCUUCCUUGUUGUCUUUCUGCUCUAGGCACAAGAAUAGUGCAAGGUUGCAUGUGUGGAAUUAAUGAAGGCAAUAAUCCUACACGGAGGUGCCCCUUAAACAUCGUGUUGUAAACAAAAUCGCAUCAGUUUUUACAAGAUACAAAAAACUAUCAGUAGUGCGCACUUAUUAGCUAGAAAAUCCAUAUAACUUGAGAAGCUCCAAAGUUUUACUAGGUCGCCUGCAAUCUAACAGUUUGUUGAGUAUAAUGACUAUGCAUGUUCAUUUAUGUCUUGUGAGACUACAUUUUUGGUUGUUGGCUGGAGCUAUCACUAUGGCUGUUUUACUUUUCAAUCAAAUAAAUUUGUAUGGCCACCAAAAACUAAUGACAGGUCAACAAUUAUCAUUAGCAGCCCAGUUUAAUGAUCUUUUCUGAUUAAAAUUUCAAUGGAAAGCUCAUGACAGUUUGCACCCCCUUAUCUGCAUUUUACUUAACCUAUUGCAACUAUACUCUGACACUUACUAGCUAUUUUUUCAGGUUACAAUUAACAGACAUGUAUUGACCUAUUGCGGCUAUAGAGUAUGCCUAAGCCAAUGGCCAGACAUCGGCUGUUCGGAUCCACCCUUAAGCCGAGGCACAAGUCCAUUGCGGUUGAUUAUUGUUUGGGGAUUCAGUUUCAUGGUGAGAUAUGAUUUUCUGGAUCUUGUUGUCGCUGAACUGUGAUUUGUUGGUUUGGGAACUAAAGUUGGUUGCUUGCAGCAAGGGGAUUCAUAUUGGUUGAAACCUUGAAGUUGAACAUGAAGGGCACACAUUUGAUUUUCAUUGGGUGUUGCCCUUGUUUAGCACAUUAGUAGAUGGUCUCUUACUGGAUUAUGGCAGUAGUAGUGUGGUAUUGUUGUGAAUUUUGUUUUCUUCUUUUACUAGACCAAUUGUUUCAAAGAAUUUUGAGAUGCUACAAUACUGAUAGACAUGUGGCUAUCCCUUCAUUUUAUCAAGGAUGACUAUUGUUGAUGAAAGGACAUUUACAUAUUUAUAGGUUGCAACCAGAUCAAUGACCGGUUAAUCUAACACCCGGUUUUAAAGAGAGAACAAAGUAGGAAGGGUGUGUGAUGGCGCUGGGGCCAUGUGUUGGAUAUAACAUGUUGGAUAGUCUGGACAACCAAAUUUCUCCCCUAUAUAUGUGCUGGAUUUGGGGGAGCUCUAACUGUUCAAACAGUUGGAAUUUUCAAGAGCCCACUGAGAGCCUAUUUGAUGUCCGAACAUGCCCGGGCGUACGAGGGAGAAAUGAGCGCCGACCUUGGGGACAAUCUUAAUCAUUUGUUUGAUUCAUGUAUAUGCAUUGUAGCCCGUAGCAACGCACGGGCAUUCUACUAGGUGAGUUGAGGCAGACAGCAAGGGCCGAGGUUGACAAAUAAAAUGCCAUUGUGAUGGUAAGCAAAAUAUCAGGUUCUAAUUAGUGGAGGACUACAAAAGUUAAAGAGGUCUUGAUGAGAUGAUUGACAUGACAUGAAUAGUUAAUUUGACAUGUAUCAUGGGCACUUCUUCAUUAUUCAGUUGUCUCGCUUGAAUUUGUGGACCAACUGGUGGACAUAGUUCAGUUUUCACAGGUAGCAAAAGCUGCAAAACUGGGUGUGCUAGAUUUUGUUCAAAGUGCAACUUUUAUUUGAUAAAGCCGAUCAGGUUUACAUGUGUAGAUCAAUGCAGUACCAACUGUAAAAGAGUUACAACGCAAGGGGAAGAGUCUCCUUUUUUGUAUUACACUGGGAUUGAACCUGCAUGUUGCUGGGGCAACCCUCUUUUAUUUUGGUCUUUAACUCUAUUUUCUGGUGUAUCUUUGUUUAUCGAAAAUAGUUGUCUGCCCUGCCCUCGACAAUUUGCAGUGUGUGCACGGCAUCUUAUAUACACUAUGGCUGGCUAAUUUAGAUGAUUACCACCUACGACCACUAUCUUGCUUAUUUUUCUUGUGAUGGCAGCCAUAAGUAGAGGGUUCAGCAAGGCAUUGAGAGAGACAAGUGGCAACUUCUCUACAUUUAAAAAACUAUAUAUAGAGGGGGGGGGAUAGACUUCUAG